rnacentral:tRNA from 1 species
GCAUCUGUGGUGUAGUGGUUAACAUCGAGUCUUCCCACUCUGUAAGCUGGCUUGGUCCCGGGUUCAAUUCCCGGCGGAUGCA